rnacentral:rRNA from 1 species
UACGUAGGUGGCCAGCGUUAUCCGGAAUUACUGGGCGUAAAGCGCGUGUAGGUGGUUCCGUAAGUCGGACGUGAAAUCUCCUGGCUUAACUGGGAGGGGCCGUUCGAUACUGCGGAUCUUGAGGUCGGGAGAGGGACGUGGAAUUCCCGGUGUAGUGGUGGAAUGCGUAGAUAUCGGGAGGAACACCAGUGGCGAAGGCGGCGUCCUGGCCCGCACCUGACACUCAGACGCGAAAGCGUGGGGAGCGAACGGG